CAGAAAUAGUGCAUCUUGUGUUCUGUUUCAGCGUUCAGACAAAACUUGCCCACCCUGCACGCCAAAUGGGUUUUCUGGAAAUUAAACUUUAUCCUUCUCCUUGGGUCUUGUUUCAUUCCUCCCUAUCAAUGAUCGUGAAUUUCUUUUCUGUUAAAUCAGAGGUGUCUGUUUACUUCUUCUGAAUUUAAAGGUCAUGAAAGCCUUUUCGGAAUCAUUUGUUCGCCCAAUCUGGGGCCUUCCCAAGAUCUUAAGGUGUUGCAAUGAAAACAGUUCCAAAUAUAUUUUUGAGAUGGAAGACAAUCUUGAUUCCUUAAAAGAUGCAGUGGAGCAGCUGAAGAAUAAGAAGGAAGACAUAAAGUUGAGGGUGAAGCGUGAAGAGAGCUCAUACAAGGAGUGCAUCUAUAAAGUAACUGAUUGGCUUUACAGGGCAGACUGCUUGGAAGCACAAGCCAACAAAAUUAUCGCAGAAGGUGAAGAAGAACUUCAGAAGAGAAGGCAUGGAUGUUGCAGUUCCCAAAACUUGAGCUGUGAAGUGGGGAACAAAGUUUGUGAAGUGCUCAAAGCUGUCCAAAAAAGUCUGAUUGAAGGUAAUUUUGAUGUUGUGGUGAAGAGAACGCCUCUUGAUGUUGUAGAUGUGAUUCAUGUGGAGACGACUGUGGAUUUUGAAUCCAAAUUGGACGAUGUUUGGAGAUGCCUCUAUGACGAAAGUCUCAGAAUUAUCGGAAUAUAUGGAAUGCCUGGUGUAGGUAAAUCUACUCUUUUAAAAAAAGUCAGAGAUGAGCUUGUUGGAACUCACAAUUCUACAGCAGUGAUUUGGGUUGACGUAUCCAAAGAAGCAUGUCUGGACACCAUCCAGAAUGCUAUUCGCAACCAGUUAGGGAUACCCGAUGAAACAUGGAAAAAUACAGACAAGGGAAGUAGAGCUGCAGAGAUAUCAAGGUUGUUAGACAGCAGAAAGUUCAUAUUGAUUUUAGAUGAUUUAUGGGAUAGAUUGGAUCUCUCAAAUGUUGGGGUUCCUCAAUCUAAUAGGUCCAAAAUAGUGUUCACAACUAGAUCAGAAGGAGUUUGUGAUGACAUGAAUGCUCAGAUAAAAUUGAAAUUGAAGUGUAUGUCGCAGGAAGAAGCAAUGAGAUUGUUCUGGAUGGAGGUUGGUGAGGAAACUAGAAAUUCUCGUGCCCAAUUUGAAUAUGUUGUUGAGACGCUUAACAAAGAAGUUUGUCAAGGUUUACCACUCGCUCUCAUUGUUAUUAGUCAAGUAUUGGCUGGGAUGAGGGAUCCUGAGGAGUGGGAGCAUGCAAUAAGCAAAUUGCAAAAUCACCCAUCAAAGCUGCCAGGUAUGGAUCAUAUUUUUCAUAUUUUUGAGCCCAGUUAUGAUAGAUUAGAGGAUGCUAUUAUCAAAGAUUGUUUCCUGUAUAAUUCUAUACUACCGGGUGAGAUUAGAAAAGAUGAACUUAUUAAUUUAUGGAUUGGAGAAGGGUUUUUGGAUAUGUCUACUAAGUAUUUGGGAGAAUAUAUUAUCAAAAGAUUAGAGCUAUCAUGCCUUUUGGAGAGUGAUGAAUUAAAUGAUUCUGUUAGGAUGCAUGGUGUUUCUCGUGUUUUUGGCUUGUGGUUAGCUCGUGAAUAUGGGAAAAAGGACAAUAAGAUUUUGUUACAAGAACGAGAUUCUACAAAAUGGAUUGAGGCUGUGAGAAUAUCAAUAGAUGGGCAGAUUGACGUGGAACCUCCUCCAACUCCUUGUUUGCAAGUCCAGACUUUGCUUAUUAGGGAUACCAACUUGAGCGUAUUUCCGACCUGGAUUUUGCAUUCGAAAAAAGCUUUGACAGUUUUAGACUUGUCAAAAAAUAUCUGGUUAGCUGAGUUACCUGAUAGCAUUGGUGCAUUAAUUAACUUGCAUUAUAUUAACCUCUCUUUUACAAGCAUAAAGGAACUGCCAAUUGAAGUAAAGAAUUUGAAAAAUCUGAAAGUUUUGCUUUUGGAUUAUACUAAAAGGUUUCAAAUUAUACCCAAGGGAGUGAUAUCAAGUUUUCCAUCAUUGCAAUUGUUCAGCAAGUUAGAUAAUGAAAGCUUUGAUGACACGACCUUAUUGGAGGAGUUGAAAUGCAGUGAUUGCGUGAAUGACAUAAAUGUAAGCCUAUUCAGUGAUCAAGCUGUUGAAAGGCUGUUGAAUUCUCAAAAAUUACUAAAUUGCAUUAGAAAUCUAUCACUUAGAGAAAUAAAGAGUCUCAACAUAUCAGUUUCAGUUCUAUCAAGAAUGGUGCAUCUGGAGGAGCUAAUUAUAGAAGAUUGUGAAUGUUUACAUUUUGAAAGUGACAAUGACCAGUACUACGUCUUGAACAUUCGUGGUCUACGGAUACAGGGUUGUUCCACAAUAGAUGAUUUGACAUGGCUUAUUUUUGCUCCAAGGCUUAAAACUCUUGAUUUGCGUAGUUGUAGAUCAUUACUUCAAGUUAUAGGCAAUGAUUUCAAAAGUGAAGAAAUCAAAGAACUUGACCAACGUUUGGGCAUAUUCUCAAAUUUGAAGAAAUUAUAUUUGGGAGAUCUACCAAGUCUGCGGUGCAUCUGUGCUCAAGUCUUGCACUUUCCAAUCCUUGAGGUUAUGCUUGUUAUUGAUUGCCCGAAUUUACUGAACCUGCCGUUUGAUCUACAUAGUGCAAGGAGGUUGAGGGAAAUAAAAGGAACUAGAAGCUGGUGGAACCAAUUGCACUGGAAAAAUACGGCGGCCAGAGAUGCUUUCGCUUUGAAAUUCCAAGAUGGCUUUGAAGCCGACCGAUUUCAGGAAAUCCGUUACUCCAGGACUGCUCCUCCGCUUACGGACCAACAAGAGGUGAUGGGGCCUCCUACUAGAGGGGAAGAUCCAAAAUAUGGUGGUAAAGGUGGAUAUGAUGCGAGUGGAUCUGGCAGAGUCUCGACUGUCACAGUGCCUUCAACUCCUCGGACAAAGGGUGAGAUCUUGCAGUCCUCCAAUUUGAGGAGCUUUAGCUUUAGUGAGCUAAAGGCAGCAACUAGGAACUUCCGUCCGGAUUGUGUUUUGGGUGAAGGAGGAUUUGGUUGUG
rnacentral:misc_RNA from 1 species